AGAGUUUGAUCAUGGCUCAGGAUGAACGCUGGCGGCGUGCCUAAUACAUGCAAGUCGAGCGAACGGACGAGAAGCUUGCUUCUCUGAUGUUAGCGGCGGACGGGUGAGUAACACGUGGAUAACCUACCUAUAAGACUGGGAUAACUUCGGGAAACCGGAGCUAAUACCGGAUAAUAUUUUAAACCGCAUGGUUCAAAAGUGAAAGACGGUCUUGCUGUCACUUAUAGAUGGAUCCGCGCUGCAUUAGCUAGUUGGUAAGGUAACGGCUUACCAAGGCAACGAUGCAUAGCCGACCUGAGAGGGUGAUCGGCCACACUGGAACUGAGACACGGUCCAGACUCCUACGGGAGGCAGCAGUAGGGAAUCUUCCGCAAUGGGCGAAAGCCUGACGGAGCAACGCCGCGUGAGUGAUGAAGGUCUUCGGAUCGUAAAACUCUGUUACUGGGGAAGAACAUAUGUGUAAGUAACAGUGCACAUCUUGACGGUACCUAAUCAGAAAGCCACGGCUAACUACGUGCCAGCAGCCGCGGUAAUACGUAGGUGGCAAGCGUUAUCCGGAAUUAUUGGGCGUAAAGCGCGCGUAGGCGGUUUUUUAAGUCUGAUGUGAAAGCCCACGGCUCAACCGUGGAGGGUCAUUGGAAACUGGAAAACUUGAGUGCAGAAGAGGAAAGUGGAAUUCCAUGUGUAGCGGUGAAAUGCGCAGAGAUAUGGAGGAACACCAGUGGCGAAGGCGACUUUCUGGUCUGUAACUGACGCUGAUGUGCGAAAGCGUGGGGAUCAAACAGGAUUAGAUACCCUGGUAGUCC
rnacentral:rRNA from 1 species